CAAUGUUUCUGUGUUUGUUGUAUAGGCGACUACUUUGGCAUACUGAUGGAUGAGAAGGUGACCGGUUUCCCCUUCAGCGUCGUAGAGAACCCGAUGUACUGGGGCAGCACAGCCAACUAUCUCGGCCUCGCGCUCAUUGGUGCCAGUCCUGUUGGGUUGGUUCUUACUGCCAUAGUGGUCCUGGCUUACAAAGUGGCCAUAACGUUCGAAGGACCAUUCACGGAGCAGAUCUAUCUGCAGAGAAAUCAGCGCCGCAAACACGAGUGAUCGCAUCCCUCACCUGCUGGUGGGGCGGCUGAGGAUUCCCAUCCGGGCACGUGGACGGACGCACACCGGCUGUAGUCGUUAAUGGACCGCUCGAGCGGAAAUGCAGGGAAAUGUGUGCAGAUGGAACUUAUUUCUUAAAAUGAAUCAGGAAGCUUAAAGCUGCACAAUGUAACUCUUACAACUUUUACUCACAACUCUGGAAAAAAUGAAGAGACCACUGCACUGAGUCCCAUUGAAAACCUCCUGGUUAUUCCACCAAAUAUUGAUUUCUGAUAACCUGAGUUUAAACAUUAGGAUUGAUGUUUCCAAAUGAAUAUCAACUUGUUUUCUUUGCAUUAUUUGAGGUCUGAAAGCGCUGCAGCUUUGUCAUUAUUUUGACCAUUUCUCAUUUUCUGCAAAUAAACACAAAAUAUUUGCUUGGAACUUCAGAGACAUGCUGUCAGUAAAUCAUAGAAUAAAAGAACAAUGUUCAUUUUACUCAAAC